rnacentral:rRNA from 1 species
CAGUUAGGCUGGCCCCAGAACAGGUGCUGCAUGGCUGUCGUCAGCUCGUGUCGUGAGAUGUUGGGUUAAGUCCCGCAACGAGCGCAACCCUCGCCCUUAGUUGCCAGCAUUUAGUUGGGCACUCUAAGGGGACUGCCGGUGAUAAGCCGAGAGGAAGGUGGGGAUGACGUCAAGUCCUCAUGGCCCUUACGGGCUGGGCUACACACGUGCUACAAUGGUGGUGACAGUGGGCAGCGAGACAGCGAUGUCGAGCUAAUCUCCAAAAGCCAUCUCAGUUCGGAUUGCACUCUGCAACUCGAGUGCAUGAAGUUGGAAUCGCUAGUAAUCGCAGAUCAGCAUGCUGCGGGAA